ensembl:snoRNA
UGGAGCAGUGGUGACGACGGAGAUGGGUUAGCUGUGUGCGGUGAGCACGUGUGUCUGGAACUCUGAGGUCCAG